rnacentral:rRNA from 1 species
GACGAACGCUGGCGGCGUGCUUAACACAUGCAAGUCGAGCGGUAAGGCCCUUUCGGGGGUACGACGAGCGGCGAACGGGUGAGUAACACGUGGGUGACCUGCCCUCAGCUCUGGGAUAAGCCUGGGAAACCGGGUCUAAUACUGGAUAUGACUCCAUGACGCAUGUUGUGGGGUGGAAAGCCUUGUGCGGCUGAGGAUGGGCCCGCGGCCUAUCAGCUUGUGGUGGGGUGAUGGCCUACCAAGGCGACGACGGGUAGCCGGCCUGAGAGGGCGACCGGCCACACUGGGACUGAGACACGGCCCAGACUCCUACGGGAGGGCAGCAGUGGGGAAUCUUGCGCAAGUGGGCGAAAGCCUGACGCAGCGACGCCGCGUGAGGGAUGACGGCCUGGU